UACGAAGGGGGCUAGCGUUGCUCGGAAUGACUGGGCGUAAAGAGCUCGUAGGCGGUCUGUUGCGUCCGCUGUGAAAACUCGGGGCUUAACCCCGAGCCUGCAGUGGAUACGGGCAGACUAGAGGUAGGUAGGGGAGAAUGGAAUUCCCGGUGUAGCGGUGAAAUGCGCAGAUAUCAGGAGGAACACCGGUGGCGAAGGCGGGUCUCUGGGCCGAUAUUGACGCUGAGGAGCGAAAGCGUGGGGAGCGAACAGG
rnacentral:rRNA from 1 species